ensembl:misc_RNA 7SK 7SK RNA
GGAUGUGAGGGCGAUCUGGCUGCGACAUCUGUCACCCCAUUGAUCGCCAGGGUUGAUUCGGCUGAUCUGGCUGGCUAGGCAGGUGUCCCCCUCCUCCCUCACCGAUCCAUGUGCGUCCCUCCCGAAGCUGCGCGCUCGGUCGAAGAGGACGACCUCCCCCCCCCCCCCCACACCCCGAGGAGAGGACUGGUCUUCAGUCAAGGGUAUACGAGUAGCUGCGCUCCCCUGCUAGAACCUCCAAACAAGCUCUCAAGGUCCUCGGCUUUGACUCCUAGUCUCUUCUCUCAUCACUAAUUUUUUUCUUUAUUUUUAUCAUUGAUACUAUUACAGAU